UACAGAGGUCCCAAGCGUUGUUCGGAUUCAUUGGGCGUAAAGGGUGCGUAGGUGGCGCCGUAAGUCGGGUGUGAAAUUUCGGAGCUUAACUCCGAAACUGCAUUCGAUACUGCGGUGCUUGAGGACUGGAGAGGAGACUGGAAUUCAUGGUGUAGCAGUGAAAUGCGUAGAGAUCAUGAGGAAGACCAGUGGCGAAGGCGGGUCUCUGGGCCGAUACUGACGCUGAGGAGCGAAAGCGUUGGGAGCGAACAGG
rnacentral:rRNA from 1 species